UACGUAGGUGGCAAGCGUUGUCCGGAUUUACUGGGCGUAAAGAGCGCGCAGGCGGUCGUUCAAGUCGCGUGUGAAAGCCCCCGGCUCAACUGGGGAGGGUCACGCGAUACUGAUCGACUCGAAGGCAGGAGAGGGAAGUGGAAUUCCCGGUGUAGUGGUGAAAUGCGUAGAGAUCCGGAGGAACACCAGCGGCGAAGGCGGCGUCCUGGACUGGUACUGACGCUCAGGAGCGAAAGCGUGGGGAGCGAUCCGG
rnacentral:rRNA from 1 species